rnacentral:tRNA from 1 species
GGCCCCAUAGUUCAAUUGGAUAGAAUAUCAGAUUUCGGCUCUGAGGGUUGGGGGUUCGAGUCCUCCUGGGGUCA